UGAGGAAUAUUGGUCAAUGGUCGGGAGACUGAACCAGCCAAGCCGCGUGAGGGAUGGAGGUACAGAGUAUCGUAAACCUCUUUUGUCAGGGAACAAAGGGCGCCACGUGUGGCGCUUAUGAGGGUACCUGAAGAAAAAGCAUCGGCUAACUCCGUGCC
rnacentral:rRNA from 1 species